AAUGUGACAGACUCAUAUUAUACAUGUAUAUUGUAUAAUAUGAUGGGUAUAUGUAUGAAGAAUCGGUUCAUUGAAUAAAAUGCUUAGGCAAGGUAAUGUAAUUUAAACAUGCAGUCAAGCAUAAAAAUUUGGUCACUUUCCCAGUGUAAUGGCCUGGGGUAUAUAAUUAUAUUUUGGCCAAAUGUCCCUUGUGUCUUUUAAUUUCAUUGGUGUUUUAGUUUGUCUUAUGUCAUUGGAUUGGUCUUGGAGAUUUUCCCUCCAAGAGUUCUGUUCUUUGUGGUCAGUCUUUAUUCAGUUUUUGAAGAAGAGAGUUGAUUUCAGUAGAUCUGACAUAUUUUGACAAUUAGACAUAGACCGACAUUUUUCCUCUUGAAUGGUAAGUUAAUAAUUUAUUACUAAUGCUAAUCUAUUCUAUAAUUCCUUUACUAAAUGUUAAAUCUGUAAUUUUGCAUAAAAUUCCUUUUGUUGCCACAUUCCUGGAAUAAAUGAUCAGUGAGAGUGAGACUUAUAUAAUGUAAAUAUCUGUGAUAGUAAUGUAUAUGAUUCGUCUCACUGUGAUAUUAUUUUAAAGUAAAAGUAUGUUUUAUGACUUACAAGAUAUUGUAGAUAUCAUAAUUAAUUUAUAGAUCAGACCAGUUUGGUGUCAUCUGUAAAUAUUGUUCACUCGAGCCUAUUCCCAUAGAAUGGGUUUCAUCAUUGGACAAUUCGUGCAUUGCAUGGUAACUCCUGAAUAAACGUCUUGUCGAGAACCCAAA